rnacentral:rRNA from 1 species
AAGGGUAAUAUACUUGAGCGUUGACGUUACCUACAGAAGAAGCACUGGCUAACUCUGUGCCAGCAGCCGCGGUAAUACAGAGAGUGCAAGCGUUAAUCGGAAUCACUGGGCGUAAAGCGCGCGUAGGUGGAUAUUUAAGUCGGAUGUGAAAGCCCUAGGCUUAACCUAGGAACUGCAUUCGAUACUGGGUAUCUCGAGUAUAGUAGAGGGAAGUGGAAUUUCCGGUGUAGCGGUGAAAUGCGUAGAUAUCGGAAAGAACACCGGUGGCGAAGGCGGCUUCCUGGACUAAUACUGACACUGAGGUGCGAAAGCGUGGGGAGCAAACAGGAUUAGAGACCCUGGUAGUCCACGCCGUCAACGAUGAGAACUAGCUGUUGGGAAGUUUACUUUCUAGUAGCGAAGCUAACGCGUUAAGUUCUCCGCCUGGGGAGUACGGCCGCAAGGUUAAAACUCAAAGAAAUUGACGGGGGCCCGCACAAGCGGUGGAGCAUGUGG